AGUGAACGCUGGCGGUAGGCCUAACACAUGCCAGUCGAACGGCAGCACAGUAAGAGCUUGCUCUUACGGGUGGCGAGUGGCGGACGGGUGAGGAAUACAUCGGAAUCUACUUUUUCGUGGGGGAUAACGUAGGGAAACUUACGCUAAUACCGCAUACGACCUACGGGUGAAAUCAGGGGAUCUUCUGACCUUGCGCGAUUGAAUGAGCCGAUGUCGGAUUAGCUAGUGGGCGGGGUAAAGGCCCACCAAGGCGACGAUCCGUACCUGGUCUGAGAGGAUGAUCAGCCACACUGGAACUGAGACACGGUCAAGACUCCUACGGGAGGCAGCAGUGGGGAAUAUUGGACAAUGGGCGCGAGCAUGAUCCAGCCAUACCGCGUGGGUGAAGAAGGCCUUCGGGUUGUAAAGCCCUUUUGUUGGGAAAGAAAAGCAGCAGGUUAAUACCCCGCUGUUCUGACGGUACCCAAAGAAUAAGCACCGGCUAACUUCGUG
rnacentral:rRNA from 1 species